CCCUUCGAAGAGUCGAGUUGCUUGGGAAUGCAGCUCAAAAUGGGUGGUAAAUUUCAUCUAAAGCUAAAUAUUGGCGGGAGACCGAUAGCGCACAAGUAGAGUGAUCGAAAGAUGAAAAGCACUUUGAAAAGAGAGUUAAACAGUACGUGAAAUUGUUGAAAGGGAAGCGCUUGCAAUCAGACUCGCUCUCGGUUGAUCAGCGACGCCUUCUGGCGCGUGCACUCUGCCGUUUGCGGGCCAGCAUCAGUUGGAGCGGUGGGACAAAGGCAGUGGGAAUGUGGCUCCCCUCGGGGAGUGUUAUAGCCCGUUGCGCCAUGCCAUCAGCCCCGACUGAGGUCCGCGGUUCGCCUAGGAUGCUGGCUUAAUGGUUGU
rnacentral:rRNA from 1 species